GCGAACAAGUACCGUGAGGGAAAGGUGAAAAGCACCCCGAUGAGGGGAGUGAAACAGUACCUGAAACCGAAUGCUUACAAUCAGUUGGAGGGUCCUUGAGGCCUGACAGCGUACCUCUUGUAUAAUGGGUCAGUGACUUAAUCUAUCAAGCGAGCUUAAGCCGUUAGGUGUAGGCGCAGCGAAAGCGAGUCUGAACAGGGCGACUGAGUUUGAUGGAUUAGACCCGAAACCCGGCGAUCUAGGCAUGACCAGGCUGAAGGUGCGGUAACACGCACUGGAGGGCCGAACCGUUUAAUGUUGAAAAAUUAUCGGAUGAGUUGUGUUUAGGGGUGAAAGGCCAAUCAAGCCGGGAAAUAGCUGGUUCUCCGCGAAAUCUAUUUAGGUAGAGCGUCGGAUGUUUACCUGUGGGGGUAGAGCACUGGAUGGGCUAGGGGGUCGCGAGAUCUACCAAACCUAACCAAACUCCGAAUACCACAGAGUUAGUCCGGCAGACAGACGGCGGGUGCUAAGGUCCGUCGUCAAAAGGGAAACAGCCCUAACCUACAGCUAAGGUCCCCAAAUCGUAUCUAAGUGGGAAAGCAUGUGGGAUUUCCAAAACAACCAGGAGGUUGGCUUAGAAGCAGCCAUCCUUUAAAGAAAGCGUAACAGCUCACUGGUCUAAAUAAGAGAUCCUGCGGCGAAAAUGUAACGGGGCUCAAGAUACGUACCGAAGCUUAGGGUGUGCAUUUAUGCACGCGGUAGCGGAGCGUUCCGUAAGCCUGUGAAGCGGGAGGGUAACCGACCGUGGAGGUAUCGGAAGUGAGAAUGCUGACAUGAGUAGCGAUAAAGAGGGUGAGAUGCCCUCUCGCCGAAAUCCCAAGGGUUCCUGCUUAAAGCUAAUCUGAGCAGGGUGAGCCGGCCCCUAAGACGAGCCCGAAGGGGGUAGUCGAUGGGAACCACGUUAAUAUUCGUGGGCCUGGAGGUGUGUGACGGAUGGCGUAAGUUGUCAGGCCUUAUUGGAUUGGUCUGGCUUCGAAGUUGUCCCAGGAAAUAGCCCCUCCGUAUAGACCGUACCCUAAACCGACACAGGUGGGAUGGUAGAGUAUACCAAGGCGCUUGAGAGAAGUGUACUGAAGGAACUCGGCAAAUUACCUCCGUAACUUCGGGAGAAGGAGGCCCCACAUAUGGGCAACCAUGUGUGGGGGGCACAAGCCAGGGGGUAGCGACUGUUUAGCAAAAACACAGGACUCUGCUAAGUCGGCUUCAAGACGACGUAUAGGGUCUGACGCCUGCCCGGUGCUGGAAGGUUAAGAGGAGGAGUGCAAGCUCUGAAUUGAAGCCCCAGUAAACGGCGGCCGUAACUAUAACGGUCCUAAGGUAGCGAAAUUCCUUGUCGGGUAAGUUCCGACCCGCACGAAAGGCGUAACGAUUUGGGUACUGUCUCGGAGAGAGACUCGGCGAAAUAGACUUGUCUGUGAAGAUGCGGACUACCUGCACCUGGACAGAAAGACCCUAUGAAGCUUUACUGUAACUUGGAAUUGGGUUUGAGCUUUUCUUGCGCAGCAUAGGUGGGAAGCUAAGAAAAUAGGUUUGCGGAUCUAUUUGAGCUAUCAGUGAGAUACCACUCUGGAAAAGCUAGAAUUCUAACCUUGAAAGCCGUUAUCCGGCCAAGGGACAGUUUCAGGUGGGCAGUUUGACUGGGGCGGUCGCCUCCUAAAGAGUAACGGAGGCGCGCGAUGGUGAGCUCAGGACGGUUGGAAACCGUCUGUUAGAGUGCAAUGGCAUAAGCUCGCCUGACUGCGAGACUGACGAGUCGAGCAGAGACGAAAGUCGGUCAUAGUGAUCCGGUGGUCCCUCGUGGAAGGGCCAUCGCUCAACGGAUAAAAGGUACGCCGGGGAUAACAGGCUGAUGAUUCCCAAGAGCUCAUAUCGACGGAAUCGUUUGGCACCUCGAUGUCGGCUCAUCACAUCCUGGGGCUGGAGCAGGUCCCAAGGGUUUGGCUGUUCGCCAAUUAAAGUGGUACGUGAGCUGGGUUCAGAACGUCGCGAGACAGUUUGGUCCCUAUCUGCCGUGGGCGUCGAUAAUUGAGAGGAGUUGACCCUAGUACGAGAGGACCGGGUUGAACAUACCUCUGGUGUACCUGUCAUUGCGCCAGCAGUGCAGCAGGGUAGCUAUGUAUGGACGGGAUAACCGCUGAAAGCAUCUAAGCGGGAAGCCUCCCUCAAGAUAAGUUAUCAUCGAGUCGUGGAAGACCACCACGUUGAUAGGCCGGGUGUGGAAGUGCGGUAACGCAUGGAGCUAACCGGUCCUAAUUACUCUGUUCGCGCUUG
rnacentral:rRNA from 1 species